UUCAAAAUAAAAAAUUACUCUAUGUAAUCAAGUAAUUACUAACUAGGUGUUUUGCUUCCAGAUCUAGAUCGAGCAGCGCUUCCGUGUUUGUGUAGAUUCAGAUCAGCCACAAGUUGAGAGAGAGAUUCUGAAAAAUUUCUUAAGUUCAAUUCUUGUAUAUGAAUGGCUAUUGGAGUAAUGCUUAUGAUGAGUAAUGAGUUAGUGAAUAAGUAAUGCUUGUGAUGAGAAGUAAAGCGCUUCUGCACACACUUAACUUUUCCUGACUUUUUGCUCCAAUGAUCGACGUGAUGUCCUUUUUUAACUUUUUUAAAUAUUUUAUCAUUCAAAUGCUGGAAUCAUGUUGGGAGGUAGGGAGAGACACCCGAAACGGCAGCUUGUGCUACCGUUUCGGGCAGCGUCCUCGCACCCCUCGCGCCCUCCAACAUUUUCCUUUUUUUUAUGCCCAAGGGUUUUUUGGAUAUUAUGAAAAUACUAGGGAUAAAUAGUUUGUAUUAAUUUCAAUCAAGAGAAAAUUGGCAAUUACCCAAAGGAUUAUAAUGCUUCUAAUUGUGACCAUGUAUAUU
rnacentral:lncRNA from 1 species